rnacentral:rRNA from 1 species
GUAGGUGGCAAGCGUUGUCCGGAAUUAUUGGGCGUAAAGCGCGCGCAGGUGGUUCUUUAAGUCUGAUGUGAAAGCCCCCGGCUUAACCGGGGAGGGUCAUUGGAAACUGGGGAACUUGAGUGCAGGAGAGGAAAGUGGAAUUCCACGUGUAGCGGUGAGAUGCGUAGAUAUGUGGAGGAACACCAGUGGCGAAGGCGACUUUCUGGCCUGUAACUGACACUGAGGCGCGAAAGCGUGGGGAGCAAACAGGGAUUAGAUACCCUGGUAGUCCACGCCGUAAACGAUGAGUGCUAAGUGUUGGGGGGGUUUCCCGCCCCUCAGUGCUGCAGCUAACGCAUUAAGCACUCCGCCUGGGGAUACGGUCGCAAGACUG